GACGAACGCUGGCGGCGUGCCUAAUACAUGCAAGUCGUGCGGACCUUGUUGAAAGCUUGCUUUUAAAAGGUUAGCGGCGGACGGGUGAGUAACACGUGGGCAACCUGCCUGUAAGACUGGGAUAACGCCGGGAAACCGGGGCUAAUACCAGAUCGUUUUUUCCUCCGCAUGGAGGAAAAAGGAAAGGCGGCUUCGGCUGCCACUUACAGAUGGGCCCGCGGCGCAUUAGCUAGUUGGCGGGGUAAUGGCCCACCAAGGCAACGAUGCGUAGCCGACCUGAGAGGGUGAUCGGCCACAUUGGGACUGAGACACGGCCCAAACUCCUACGGGAGGCAGCAGGAGGGAAUCUUCCGCAAUGGACGAAAGUCUGACGGAGCAACGCCGCGUGAGUGAAGAAGGCCGUCGGGUCGUAAAACUCUGUUGCCGGGGAAGAACAAGUGCCGUUCGAACAGGGCGGCGCCUUGACGGUACCCGGCCAGAAAGCCACGGCUAACUACGUG
rnacentral:rRNA from 1 species